ACUCUCGGCAACGGAUAUCUCGGCUCUCGCAUCGAUGAAGAACGUAGCAAAAUGCGAUACCUGGUGUGAAUUGCAGAAUCCCGCGAACCAUCGAGUUUUUGAACGCAAGUUGCGCCCGAAGCCUUCUGGCGGAGGGCACGUCUGCCUGGGCGUCACGCCAAAAGACACUCCCAACACCCCCCCGCGGGGCGAGGGACGUGGCGUCUGGCCCCCCGCGCCGCAGGGCGAGGUGGGCCGAAGCAGGGGCUGCCGGCGAACCGCGCCGGGCGCAGCACGUGGUGGGCGACAUCAAGUUGUUCUCGGUGCAGCGUCACGGCGCGCGGCCGGACAUUCGGCCCUAAGGACCCAUCGAGCGACCGAGCUUGCCCUCGGACCGCGACCCCAGGUCAGUCGGGACUACCCACUGAGUUUAAGCAUAUAAAUAAGCGGAGGAGAAGAAACUUACGAGGAUUCCCCUAGUAAUGGCGAGCGAACCGGGAGCAGCCCAGCUUGAGAAUCGGGCGGCCUCGCCGCCCGAAUUGUAGUCUGGAGAGGCGUCCUCAGCGAUGGACCGGGCCCAAGUUCUCUGGAAAGGGACGCCUGGGAGGGUGAGAGCCCCGUCCGGCCCGGACCCUGUCGCACCACGAGGCGCCGUCAACGAGUCGGGUUGUUUGGGAAUGCAGCCCAAAUCGGGCGGUAAACUCCGUCCAAGGCUAAAUACAGGCGAGAGACCGAUAGCGAACAAGUACCGCGAGGGAAAGAUGAAAAGGACUUUGAAAAGAGAGUCAAAGAGUGCUUGAAAUUGCCGGGAGGGAAGCGGAUGGGGGCUGGCGACGCGCACCGGCCGUAUGCGGAACGGCUCCUGCUGGUCCGCCGAUCGGCUCGGGGCGUGGACCGUUGUCGCCCGCGCCGGCGGCCAAAGCCCGGGGGCCCUAGGCGCCCCCGGCAGCCGUCGUCGGCGCGGACGGUAUCCGCGCGCCUCUGGCGCGCCCCUCGGGGCGCUGCGCUGCAACGGCCUGCGAGCUCCCCAUCCGACCCGUCUUGAAACACGGACCAAGGAGUCUGACAUGCGUGCGAGUCGACGGGUUCAGAAACCUGAGAUGCGCAAGGAAGCUGACGAGCGGGAGGCCCUCACGGGCCGCAACGCUGGCCGACCCUGAUCUUCUGUGAAGGGUUCGAGUUGGAGCACGCCUGUCGGGACCCGAAAGAUGGUGAACUAUGCCUGAGCGGGGCGAAGCCAGAGGAAACUCUGGUGGAGGCUCGAAGCGAUACUGACGUGCAAAUCGUUCGUCUGACUUGGGUAUAGGGGCGAAAGACUAAUCGAACCAUCUAGUAGCUGGUUCCCUCCGAAGUUUCCCUCAGGAUAGCUGGAGCCCACACGAGUUCUAUCGGGUAAAGCCAAUGAUUAGAGGCAUCGGGGGCGCAACGCCCUCGACCUAUUCUCAAACUUUAAAUAGGUAGGACGGCGCGGCUGCUUCGGUGAGCCGUGCCACGGAAUCGGGAGCUCCAAGUGGGCCAUUUUUGGUAAGCAGAACUGGCGAUGCGGGAUGAACCGGAAGCCGGGUUACGGUGCCAAACUGCGCGCUAACCUAGAACCCACAAAGGGUGUUGGUCGAUCAAGACAGCAGGACGGUGGUCAUGGAAGUCGAAAUCCGCUAAGGAGUGUGUAACAACUCACCUGCCGAAUCAACUAGCCCCGAAAAUGGAUGGCGCUGAAGCGCGCGACCCACACCCGGCCAUCUGGGCGAGCGACAUGCCCCGAUGAGUAGGAGGGCGCGGCGGCCGCCGCAAAACCCGGGGCGCGAGCCCGGGCGGAGCGGCCGUCGGUGCAGAUCUUGGUGGUAGUAGCAAAUAUUCAAAUGAGAACUUUGAAGGCCGAAGAGGAGAAAGGUUCCAUGUGAACGGCACUUGCACAUGGGUAAGCCGAUCCUAAGGGACGGGGGAAACCCGGCAGAUAGCGCGAUCACGCGCGUCACCCGAAAGGGAAUCGGGUUAAGAUUUCCCGAGCCGGGACGUGGCGGCAGACGGCGACGUUAGGAAGUCCGGAGACGCCGGAGGGGGCCUCGGGAAGAGUUAUCUUUUCUGCUUAACGGCCCGCCAACUGUGACGGAACCUCCCAAGUAAUUAGGCCCACCUACAGUUGUCCUUGUCUCACAGACAUCAGACAACCCUGUAGGUGCCCCUGAACUACUUGACAAGUUCGGUAUCUUUCCUUACCUUACCAGGAACGUCUCACCCAUCUUGUAGACAUUGCAGAACAUCGGAGAUGAAGAAAUGCGGAAGCGAAUUACAUAAACUUACAUUUUAUUUUAAAAGCAAGCUUGAGUUAUUUUUAUUACAGACCAGACUAAAGUGAGUGCAUAGAGUAAUAUUAUACAAACCAGGGAGGCAAAAACUCCUCCCGAGAAGACAAAAGCAAAAGAUCCUAGGUGGAGGACCGAGUCCUCCCGCACUUCAGUCUUGAUUUUCUUCUUUUGGAACCACCUUGGCACAGAAGCAGCAAAAGUCUGCUACUUCCUCACCUAAAAACAACGAAGGGAUAAACCCUGAGUAUGGAAUACUCAGCAAGUCUUACCCGACUAAAGAAAAGACUCUCAAGGGUAUGCUGGUUAUAUGGGAGUCAAGGUAAGGCUUUUCAAUAUUCAAAGACUCUGUUUUGCAGAAAUGCUUACUAAAGUGGAUCCUUAAAAACCCAGUUUUAUUUGUCAAGUUAAGUAGAAUUACCUGCACUAGAGUUCUUUCUACCCUAGUUCAAUCACUGAUCCUGCACUAGCCAAUUUCUUAACAAGAGCCCAUCGUCUUUAGUGGAAUGCUACGUGUAAGUCAGUGGCCAAGUCUCCAUAACCGCGGAGGUACGGCGAUCCGAAUCGAUUAUACUCAGCUGAGGAUCUCCAAUCACACGACAUAUGUAGCACUUAACCCUUGCAUAUGUCAACCCGCCACCGGGGUUCUUAAGACCGGAUCAGGUU
rnacentral:rRNA from 1 species